ACCUGCGGAAGGAUCAUUGUCGUGACCCUAACCAAAAUAGACUGUGAACAUGUCAUCAAUUCCACCGGGUGAUGGCCAUAGUGUCAUCUCCUGGCAUGGGCCUCUAUCCUUCUUAUGACGGGUGUGGUCCACAAAAGAACCCACGACGUCGGAUGACGUCAAGGAACACUUUUAUUUAUUGCUUGCACAAUGGUGUGAACUUCUUGUUUGAUACACCUUGUGCUGUGAUGCUACCUUAAUCCACAAGACUCUCGGCAACGGAUAUCUUGGCUCUCACAUCGAUGAAGAACGUAGCAAAAUGCGAUACCUGGUGUGAAUUGCAGAAUCCCGUGAACCAUCGAGUUUUUGAACGCAAGUUGCGCCUGAGGCCACUUGGUCGAGGGCACGUCUGCCUGGGCGUCACACGAAAAGACACUCCCCCACCCUUCAUGGAGCGGGAUGUGGUGUUUGGCCUUCCGUGUCAUGUGAAUGGUUCGGUGGGCUAAAGUAUAGGCUGCUAGCUAUGGGGCUGGUCAUAGCACUUGGUGGAUGACAAAUGUUGUUCUCGGAGUUGUGACAUGUAUUGCUUCUAGCGAUAGUAUGGCUGUUAUGACCCAUGCAUCGGAGCUUUGAUUGCUUCAACCAUGACCCCAGGUCAGUCGGGACUACCCGCUGAAUUUAAGCAUAUCAAUAAG
rnacentral:rRNA from 2 species